rnacentral:lncRNA from 10 species
CAAAUGUCUCUCUUCCUGUGUACUUAUUAUCAAUCUGGGAAUGUCGUCACCCCAGUCACCCCAGAAUGUUUCCUUAUGACUGCAUUCUUACUGGCUGUAAGUAACUCUUUUACUCAGCAAGGAACAAGGGCCAGAUGGCAUGCAGACAUGUGCUUGAGACUGGGAAUUCUACUAGUGCAUGUGGAGAGAAGAUAAACAUGGCUGCUGCGUGGAGUCAUAAACCUCAGAGGAAGAUGAGAAUGAGAUGAAAUGUAUAUGUAACCCUUGUGUAUAGCAAGUUUGGAAAGAAAUAAAAAGCGUAUCUGGCAGAUUAUGAUAAAGUUUCUCUCUAUUUACUUUAUUGAUAUAGUCUCAGGUUUGCAUUGGGUGAUGAAUAAUAGAUUGGGGGAAGAUGUCCUUUGUUUAUUCAUUCAUUUCAUCAACAAAUAUUUAAUGAGUACCUACUAUAUGCCACAAAGAGUAUAAAUCUAG